rnacentral:rRNA from 1 species
AUGAUCACAUGUUGUUAUGGUGGAACCACAUUGGCAAAUGUCUCAUGGCAAGCUUCACAGUUUCAGGCCAACGCUAUUGCAGAUAGAGCACAUCAAAUUGGAAUGACAAACCAGAUACGAUCACCACAUGCGGCACAACAAGGACCUUCAACUACAAUCAACAGCGGCACAGGGACAUCUACUGCGGGAACCUCUGAGCACACGGAAGAAGCGUUCCACCAGCCAGCCAACAAUCAUGCCACAAACAAUGCAGAGUCAGUGUCGGAAAUGGCAAUCGUUCCAGCAAUGCCGACAAGCACACCUUUGCACACCAGCACAAGCAACACUCAAGCAGAUGAAACAGCCGCCGAUACUGAAGUGAAUGAUGAAACUGAUGACGAAGCACAAGGGGAUGAAGAAGAUGGGCAAUCAGAAAUCAUGGUACCUCAGCCACCGUAUGUUGGGCAGAGAUUUGAUUCGUUCGAAGAUGCCAAAGAAUUCUACCAGAGAUAUGCAAUGUUCCAUGGGUUUGCGGUCAACACCGAAUACCAUAGGAAAAUUAAAAAAACUAACGAGUACAGCAGAGGUGAGAUGAGGCGCUACAAGGCACGAAGGAACAAGAAGGGUCAAGAUGGAGCACGGUGGGUGGUCACUGAAUAUUUUGACGAGCACAACCACGAACUCAUAAAGAAGUUUGGCUUGGUAAAAAAAUUUAGCGCCCACAAAGGAUUCACCCCCCUCGAGAAGAAAUUCAUAAAGCUGCUACAUGAUUGUAACGUCGGUCCAUCAAGAAUGGUCCAAAUACUGUCCCUCAUCCACAGCGGAGAUGGUAGACUGAGUAGCAUGCCCUACAUACCAGCAGACGUCACAAACCUAAAGGCAAAGUACCGUAGAGAGAGAAGGUUGGCUGACAUAGAAGACACGAUAGCCUACUUCGAUGAGAAAGCAAAAGCAGAUCCAGAUUUCUUCUACAGGAUAACAUUGGAUGAUGAGGACCGUGUCAGGAGCAUGUAUUGGGUGGAUGGUGCUGCAAGAAGAGAUUGCAUUUCGUUCGACGUGACAUAUCUCACUAAUAUGUACAAGAUGCCAUGCGCUCCAUUCAUAGGAAUAAAUAACCACAAUCAGUCAUUGCAGUUCGGAUGCGAGCUCGUUCAGAACGAAGACACGGAUAGGUACACUUGGCUGUUCAAAACCUUCUUGGAGUGCAUGGGUGGACUUGCUCCGAUGAACAUAAUAAUAGACCAGGAUUUUAGCAUGCGUGCAGGCAUAGAGGAGGUCUUUCCGUUGGCAGUGCACAGGCACUGCAGGUGGCAUAUUAUAAAGAAGGCUGAGGAGACGCUAGGACCGUUCUUUGCUGACCGUCCAGAGCUGCACAAGGCAUUCGAGUUGUGCGUGGACGACAGCUUGACGGUGGAGGACGAGGGGUUCAAUGCUGUUCUGAAGCGGUACGUGAGCCCUGGCAACUCAUUGCUGCAGUUUGCCAAGCAAUACACAGCUUUGCAACAGAAAAUACUGGGAUCUGAGCUACAGCAAGAAGCAAACACCGCGCUCAAGCAGCCUAAAUUGCUAACAUAUUUACCAAUGGAGAGGCAGAUGAGCAAGACAUAUACCAACAAGAUUUUUAACAAUUGA